rfam:Myotis brandtii contig274893, whole genome shotgun sequence.
GGUGGUUCUUGGGUGAUGCACCCCAGAAUCAGGCUCCCUCCUCUCUGGUUCCAGGUGCGUCACCCAGAGAACUGCA